rnacentral:misc_RNA from 1 species
GGAAGUAAAAAUCGUAACAAGGUCUCCGUUGGUGAACCAGCGGAGGGAUCAUUACAGGAUCGAAAGACUCCUAUAACCCCUGUGAACUUACUACAAAUACGUUGCUUCGGCGGGUGCCCCGGGUCUCCCGGGGCGUUCAGUCCGCCGGCAGCCUUCAAAUUCUGUUUCUUUGCGUUGGCAUCUCGAGUAUACAAAAAUAAGUUAAAACUUUCAACAACGGAUCUCUUGGCUCUC